UACCGCCACUAGCGAUUCGUCGAUGGUAAUUUUGCCUUGAUGAGGAGCUAAUCGGAAACGAAAGUCUNCCGGUUCCGGGGGAAGUAUGGUUGCAAAGCUGAAACUUAAAGAAAUUGACGGAAGGGCACCACCAGGAGUGGAGCCUGCGGCUUAAUUUGACUCAACACGGGAAAACUCACCCGGCCCGGACACUGUAAGGAUUGACAGAUUGAAAGCUCUUUCUUGAUUCGGUGGAUGGUGGUGCAUGGCCGUUCUUAGUUGGUGGAUUGAUUUGUCUGGUUUAUUCCGAUUAACGAGCGAGACUCUAAUCUAUUAAAUAGAUGUCUUUAUUCUUUCGGGAGUGAAGCAUUCUUCUUAGAGAGACAAACAACGUUUAGUUGUACGAAAGAGAGCAAUAACAGGUCUGUGAUGCCCUUAGAUGUUCGGGGCUGCACGCGCGCUACACUGAAGAAAUCAACGUGUACGCUUCCAUUUUCGAGAGGAAUUGGUAAUCCUUUGAAAACUUUUCGUGCUUGGGAUAGUGAAUUGCUAUUAUUUCACUUAAACGAGGAAUUCCUAGUAAGUGCAAGUCAUCAACUUGCGUUGAUUACGUCCCUGCCCCUUUGUAAG
rnacentral:rRNA from 1 species